rnacentral:rRNA from 1 species
CCAAUGAUUAUUAAAUGGCUGCGGUAAUUUGACCGUACAAAGGUAGCAUAAUAAUUAGUCUUUUAAUUAGAGUCUGGAAUGAAAGAUUGGAUGAGAAAAUAACUUUCUUUAUUAUUUUAAUUUGAAUUUGAUUUUUAAGUGAAAAAGCUUAAAUUUUUUUAUGGGACAAUAAGACCCUAUAGAGCUUAAAUUUUUUUAUUAAAAGUAAAUUUUUGGUUUAAGUUGUUUUUUUAAUAAUGAAUUUUUGGUUGGGGUGACAGGUAAAAUUUUUUUGUCUUUAUUUAUUUUAUUCAAUUAUACUUGAUUUUUUUGAUCCUUAAAUUUAAGAUUAUAAGAUAAAGUUACCUUAGGGAUAACAGCGUUAUUUAUUUUAAGAGUUCUUAUCGAUGAAUAAGUUUGCGACCUCGAUGUUGGAUUAAGAUUAGAGAAGGGUGAAGGUUUUUUUAAUUCUAGGUCUGUUC